UUGAACGCUGGCGGCAGGCCUAACACAUGCAAGUCGAGCGCGAAAGGUUGUCGGACUGAGUAAAGCGGCGGACGGGUGAGUAACGCGUGGGAAUCUGCCCAGUAGUGGGGGACAACAGUCGGAAACGACUGCUAAUACCGCAUACGCCCUACGGGGGAACGGGGGGGGUCUUCGGACCUCCCGAUAUCGGAUGAGCCCGCGUCGGGUUAGCUAGUUGGUAGGGUAAAGGCCUACCAAGGCUACGAUCCGUAACUGGUCUGAGAGGAUGAUCAGUCACACUGGAACUGAGACACGGUCCAGACUCCUACGGGAGGCAGCAGUGGGGAAUAUUGGACAAUGGGGGCAACCCUGAUCCAGCCAUGCCGCGUGUGUGAAGAAGGCCUUAGGGUUGUAAAGCACUUUCAGUGGGGAGAAAGGUUUGUCACCUAAUACGUGAUGAAAUUGAUGUUACCCACAGAAGAAGCACCGGCUAACUCCGUGCCAGCAGCCGCGGUAA
rnacentral:rRNA from 1 species